CCUGCCCUAUAGAUGUUGUGGAUGUGGCUGCUGUGUCACGUGUGCAUCAGUAGGUGGCAGAGAGGAGAAGGCUAUGUCUGCAUAGUGUUCUCACCUAUGAACAUCUGAAUGAUCAGUAGCCUAACAUU